rnacentral:misc_RNA from 1 species
AUAGAAGACACAAAAGACUGAUCGGCCAAUAAUUUACUCAUGUCUGUCUGGCUUGUCGAGUCACUGGAGCCUUCCUGCACAGACAACUGAAGAGCAAGUGCUAACUCAGGAUCAUCUGAUGCGGCUUCUGACAUGUCAAUGUCUCGUAUGUCACUGGUAGCAGAAGGAUUAUCCAUUGACAUAGCAAGGGCUUGUUGUAGCAGCGCAUUCUCAUCAUCCAUUAAAUCAGCAGCCUUGUUUUCAGCAUCAGAAGUCGCAAGACCAGAACGCUCGGUCAUAGUUGCAUCCUGUGAGCCAG